UCUUUGUCUGUGCCAUCAUACAAUAACAGUGCUCUAAAAGCCCAUUCUCACCAUAGUGACCUCAGAUGAGCAUAAACCACUUGAUGAAUGAUAUCAGAAGGGGUGGAAAGACCACACUUACAUGUUAUGUCACCCUGAGAAAUCUGUUUAACAGCACACUAGAGAGAAGCAAGACAUCACGGAGUAACUGGCACUCACAGGCAAGGCAGGAGGCAAGGGCAGGAGCCAGUUGUCCACCCACAUAAUCCCGAACUCCCACGACAUGACAGACAGUACACGCCUCCAGAUCUCCUGUGGCUCAUAGCUGGACAUGGAACACGCUUUCACACCAAGGAGAACACUUCAACUUGGUCACCAAACCAGCACUACCAACAUUCUUCAGAAACCCACAAAUUAUAGAACGUCAUACAG